AUGCCUCAGGAAAUGCAUGCAAGCAUGCAUCGCCCUCCGGCUCUAUAUAACACUCGACAUCUGCUCAUCCAGUCUCACCAUCCAAUAAUCACACACUACUACUACCUUGCUUGUACCAGGAAGAACACCAGCCGAGCUACCUUUGCUCAGCAAGAAAGCUCAUUCUUACGCACGUUCACUGUUGACAUGAAGAUCACCGUGCACUCGUCCAAGGCCGUCAAGCCCGACUACGGCGCCUGCGGCGUCGCUCCAGGCUGCACCGCCGACGUCGUCCCGCUCACCGUGCUCGACAAGGCCAACUUCGACACGUACAUCUCCGUCAUCUACGCCUUCCACGCACCGGCGCCGCCCAAUGACGUCCUCGAGGCCGGGCUGGCCAGGGUGUUGGUGGACUACCGCGAGUGGGCCGGCCGGCUCGGCGUGGACGCCAACGGCGAACGCGCUAUCCUGCUCAACGACGCCGGCGCGCGUUUCGUGGAGGCGACGGCCGACGUGGCGCUCGACAGCGUCAUGCCGCUCAAGCCCACGCCGGAGGUGCUCAGCCUGCACCCCAGCGGCGAUGACGGCCCCGAGGAGCUCAUGCUGAUCCAGGUCACGCGCUUCUCGUGCGGGUCGCUCGUCGUGGGGUUCACCACGCAGCACAUCGUGUCCGACGGCCGCUCCACCGGCAACUUCUUCGUCGCCUGGAGCCAGGCCACCCGCGGCGCCGCCGUCGACCCCGUCCCGGUGCACGACCGCGCUUCCUUCUUCCAUCCCCGCGAACCGCUGCACGUCGAGUACGAGCACCGUGGCGUCGAGUUCAAGCCCUACGAAAAGGUGCACGACGACGUUGUCCGUGCGGACGGCGACGACGACGAGGUGGUGGUGAACAAGGUGCACUUUAGCCGGGAGUUCAUCUCCAGGCUCAAGGCGCAGGCGUCGGCGGGCGCGCCCAGGCCGUGCAGCACCCUGCAGUGCGUGGUGGCGCACCUGUGGCGGACCAUGACGAUGGCGCGCGGGCUCGACGGCGGGGAGAGCACCAGCGUCGCCAUCGCGGUGGACGGGAGAGCGCGGAUGAGCCCGCAGGUGCCGGACGGAUACACCGGUAACGUCAUCCUCUGGGCGCGGCCCACCACGACGGCGGGUGAACUCGUGGCCAGGCCGUUGAAGCACGCGGUGGAGCUCAUCAGCCGGGAGGUGGCCCGUAUCAACGACGGCUACUUCAAGUCCUUCAUCGACUUCGCCAACUCGGGCGCCGUGGAGAAGGAGCGGCUGGCGGCGACGGCGGACGCGGCUGAGAUGGUGCUGAGCCCCAACAUCGAGGUCGACAGCUGGCUGCGGAUCCCGUUCUACGACAUGGACUUCGGCGGCGGCCGGCCCUUCUUCUUCAUGCCCAGCUACCUGCCGGUGGAGGGCCUGCUCAUCCUGCUGCCCUCCUUCUUGGGCGACGGCAGCGUGGACGCCUACGUGCCACUCUUUAGCCGCGACAUGAACACCUUCAAGAACUGCUGCUACACCCUCGACUAG
rnacentral:rRNA from 1 species